GAUGCUCCCUCUCAUUGGCCCUUAGCCCAGCUUCUCCUGAUAUAUUCACCACUUUUCAGUCUCUCUGGUUUUCUUUCUCCCUAUAGCCUUCCUGGACAGCAUUGGCAGGUGGGCACCUUCUGCCCCAUCGUUCCCUUCCUGUGACUGCAAAGAUAGCUCCGUUCCAUCUUCUGUUGUCUUCUGCUUUCCAAUGUGGAGGGCUCAGCCAUUGCAUCUUCCACUGAAGGACAAAAGAACUUCUGUUUUACUUCAUCUCACCCCAGCAACCUGUGCUGGCAUCUAUGGGCUGACAACCAACGUCUGCUAUCCCGGGCUGCAAAAAUUCUCAUUUGCCAAUAGAUUCAGUUCAGUUGGGAUUUUACUGCUUCCGUUUUGCUGGAGGAUUUGGGAUUUGAGUCCAAAAAACAAGCAUGAAAGUCGAUCUGUUGGUGAAAGCUCUGGAGAGGUGCAGAGACAGGGAGGAAACGAGCUCCCCUUGCGAUUAAAACUGUUGAAACAGCUGUUAUCUGGUAGCUGCUCUCACCGGGCAGUUUCCUGAUGUCAGUCAGCGGCUGUGGGGCUGCAGCAGCAAUUGGAGCCUGAGGAGAGGCAGCCGCACCCCGGCUGUCCCCACACCCUGAAGGAGCUGCCCACGUUGUGCAGUGAACCCCAUUGCACAAGGGGUGAAUCCGGGCACUGCAGCAAUGGAGACACAGA
rnacentral:lncRNA from 1 species